GGAGGGCAGCGGGCGGCCCUGCGGCUCUGAGUCCGCCGCCUGGAGCCUCAGCCAGGCGCCUUGGCCUCCUUCACGCAGAAAUAUAGUUCCUCAGAAAGAGAAGUUUCACAGUGGAAUAUGGAUGCUAUACAUGAUGAUAUGAUGGAAUUGCAUAAGGACGUAACUCUGAGCUCCGUGGUCAAGGCACUGGUUUGACAUAAUAAGGAAGCUAUCUGCAUGUGAUCUAAGGAUAGGUGCCAUUGCCCCUCUCUGGUGGAUCCUUGCUUCUGUGCUUGGCAUGCACGUAGCAUCCCCUAGUGGAAUACCAUCUCUUCCCCUGCCCCUGGCUCCCCCAGCAGCCAUGAGGAAGCUCUGCCGGUGUAGCUGCUUUUCUCUUCUAGCUGGCUCACUCUUGUAUGGUGGGCAGAGAGAAGAUUGAAGACCCCAGACCUGGUGUAAAUCAGUGUGUCUCCAUUGACUAGAAUGUGCACCUUGUGGAAGAUGAAUAGCAUCAAAUUUUUGCAGGAGAUGGGAGAGUUUAACUUGCAGGAGAUUUUAAUAGAAAAAUAAUACCAAGACUCACUCUAAAGCUUACUUUAAUCUCAAUGAGAAGAGCAAGUAGAUGUUGAUAGAAAGUGGGGACAGAUAAGAACUGUGACUGUUACUACCAGCAGUAAUGGUUUCCUGGUAACCUGGGGUUAAACUUGAUGGUCAACUUAAUGGCUUGUCCAGAGGAGCCUCUGUGUGUAUACACAGUAUCUGUAUGCACAUUGAGUUGAAGGCAAUGUCAGGAAAGUACCUAUAAAUAUGACCCAGAGAAGCAAAGCUUGAGACCUUCUGAGGCACUGAGACAGGAAAACGUCUACAUUUGCUUAUUCUAUGGCUGGCAAAGCAAAAUUACAUUGUUUUUUUUCCUCCUCUUUUUCUUUUGUUAAAUAAUAUUUCAAAGCAAAUGUCCUUUUUUUCUUCUUCUUGCCCCCUGUCCCCCCUCUUUUGUUAAGAUUGACUUUUGAAUGCUUCAUAAUUAUUUUACCAACGAAACAGCAAUGGUAAAGCAGACUUCAGGCAUGAAACAGCCCUGCAAAUGCCUUGGAAAGAUAUCACCUGAAUGCAGUAGGGGAAGCAGAGAUCUCAACAGAUAAACCUCUGAAUUAAAUCAUAUGGUUUUUUUCUGUGAUUCUGACUAUUUCUGGUCAUUUGUUUCUAUUUAUGCCUUUUUCCCUCCCUUUUUUUAGGAAGUGUACAUUAAUA